GUGGGGAAUAUUGCACAAUGGGGGAAACCCUGAUGCAGCAACGCCGCGUGAAGGACGACGUAUUUCGGUAUGUAAACUUCUAUCAGCAGGGAAGAAAAUGACGGUACCUGACUAAGAAGCCCCGGCUAACUACGUGCCAGCAGCCGCGGUAAUACGUAGGGGGCAAGCGUUAUCCGGAUUUACUGGGUGUAAAGGGAGCGUAGGCGGCGAGGCAAGUCAGAAGUGAAAACCCAGGGCUCAACUCUGGGAUUGCUUUUGAAACUGCUUUGCUUGAUUUCAGGAGAGGUAAGCGGAAUUCCUAGUGUAGCGGUGAAAUGCGUAGAUAUUAGGAGGAACACCAGUGGCGAAGGCGGCUUACUGGACUGACAAUGACGCUGAGGCUCGAAAGCGUGGGGAGCAAACAGGA
rnacentral:rRNA from 1 species